UACGUAGGGGGCGAGCGUUGUCCGGAUUUAUUGGGCGUAAAGAGCUCGUAGGCGGUUUGGCAAGUCGGGUGUGAAAACUCCGGGCUCAACUCGGAGACGCCACUCGAUACUGCCAUGACUCGAGUCCGGUAGGGGAGUGCGGAAUUCCUGGUGUAGCGGUGAAAUGCGCAGAUAUCAGGAGGAACACCAAUGGCGAAGGCAGCUCGCUGGGACGGUACUGACGCUGAGACGCGAAAGCGUGGGGAGCAAACAGG
rnacentral:rRNA from 1 species